GACGAACCGAGCGAACGUUGUUCGGAAUCACUGGGCUUAAAGCGUGUGUAGGCGGAUCGUUAAGUACCUUGUGAAAUCCCACGGCUUAACCGUGGAACUGCUUGGUAUACUGGCGGUCUUGAGCCAGCUAGGGGCUACCGGAACAAAUGGUGGAGCGGUGAAAUGCGUAGAUAUCAUUUGGAACGCCAAUGGUGAAAACAGGUAGCUGGGGCUGUGCUGACGCUGAGACACGAAAGCCAGGGGAGCAAACGGG
rnacentral:rRNA from 1 species